rnacentral:rRNA from 1 species
AUUGAACGCUGGCGGCAGGCCUAACACAUGCAAGUCGAGCGAGCGGCGGACGGGUGAGUAAUGUAUGGGGACUGCCCGAUAGAGGGGGAUAACUACUGGAAACGGUGGCUAAUACCGCUUACUAUCCGAUAACCCAUAGUGGAUUAGCUAGUAGGUGGGGUAAAGGCUCACCUAGGCGAAGAUUCCUAGCUGGUCUGAGAGGAUGAUCAGCCACAUGGGGACUGAGAAAAGGCCCAGACUCCUACGGAGGCAGCAGUGGGGAAUAUUGCACAAUGGGCGCAAGCCUGAUGCAGCCAUGCCGCGUGGAUGAAGAAGGCCUUAGGGUUGGAAAGUACUUGCAGCGGGGAGGCGUUACCCGCAGAGGAAGCACCGGCUAACUCCGUGCCAGCAGCCGCGGUAAUUC